UAUGUAUGUAUUUAUAUAGAUAUAUGUUUUCUAAGCAUUUAAUUUUAUAAUUUCAACAUUUAGAAUCUGCGAUUUUGGAAUAUAGAUUGUAACUUGGAGAAAUUUUUUGGUAUCGAAUUUCAGUUUAAGGUCUAGUAAUUCAUUAAUUCCUAAAUAUAUUAUAGCAGCUGUUUUUGAUUUUUUUUUAAAUGAGUGGCUGUGAACUGAAACCAAAUGCAAUAUAUGUAUACAUCUGAAAAAAAAGCCAAGCAAUUUAAAAUAAACUGAUUGAUGAAUAAAAUAAAAAAUCUGCCACAAAAUUUCAUUGCUACUGUUGUGAUUAAACUAAAUGAAACCGUUGGGAAGGCCAAAAAUUUUUUGAAGUUAUUAAUACAAAUUAUAAUAAUUUUUCUGAUGAUGAUAGUAUGAUACUUCAGUUUUUGGAAUUUUGCAAAAAUUAGGUAAAUUUAAAGGUUAUAGCAACUGGACAGAACUCUCUCUC